rnacentral:rRNA from 1 species
CACGUAGGCACCAAGCGUUGUCCGGAUUUAUUGGGCGUAAAGAGCUCGUAGGCGGUUCAGUAAGUCGGGUGUGAAAACUUUGGGCUUAACCCAAAGCGUGCAUCCGAUACUGCUGUGACUUGAGUUCGGUAGGGGAGUGGGGAAUUCCUAGUGUAGCGGUGAAAUGACGCAGAUAUUAGGAGGAACACCGGUGGCGAAGGCGCCACUCUGGGCCGAAAC